UUGAACGCUGGCGGCAUGCCUUACACAUGCAAGUCGAACGGCAGCACGGGAGCAAUCCUGGUGGCGAGUGGCGAACGGGUGAGUAAUAUAUCGGAACGUGCCCAGUCGUGGGGGAUAACGUAGCGAAAGCUACGCUAAUACCGCAUACGAUCUAUGGAUGAAANCGGGGGAUCGCAAGACCUCGCGCGAUUGGAGCGGCCGAUAUCAGAUUAGGUAGUUGGUGAGGUAAAGGCUCACCAAGCCGACGAUCUGUAGCUGGUCUGAGAGGACGACCAGCCACACUGGGACUGAGACACGGCCCAGACUCCUACGGGAGGCAGCAGUGGGGAAUUUUGGACAAUGGGCGCAAGCCUGAUCCAGCAAUGCCGCGUGCAGGAUGAAGGCCUUCGGGUUGUAAACUGCUUUUGUACGGAACGAAACGGUGAGCUCUAAUACAGUUUGCUAAUGACGGUACCGUAAGAAUAAGCACCGGCUAACUACGUG
rnacentral:rRNA from 1 species